rnacentral:rRNA from 1 species
UACGUAGGGUGCGAGCGUUAAUCGGAAUUACUGGGCGUAGAGCGUGCGCAGGCGGUUUUGUAAGCCAGAUGUGAAAUCCCCGGGCUUAACCUGGGAAUGGCAUUUGGGACUGCAAGGCUUGAGUGCGGCAGAGGAGACUGGAAUUCCUGGUGUAGCAGUGAAAUGACGUAGAUAUCAGGAGGAACACCAGCGGCGAAGGCGGCGCUCUGGGCCGGUACUGACGCUGAGGAGCGAAAGCGUGGGUAGCAAACAGG